ACGGGGUGGGAUGUCUUUACUCUAGGCACAGGUUCACACACCUUGGCUAGAGAUGAAUUAGGAAUGCCUUAAGGACUGAACAAUAGUAUGCUAUAACAAAGUACAGGAUACAUAUGAAUUUUGGAUAACGUUGAGUGAACACGGAUUGAAAAACAGCACUGGAAAUGAGUCAACAGGUUUCCAAUACAUGGCUCUGAAGAUAGACUUGAAAAUGUAUAAGCAAUGCCCUGUGAAAUCUCACACACUGGACUGAAGCCAAGUAACGAUUGUCAAUGGAAGGACACCGAAGGGAGAUAGAGGAGGAGGAAAGCAAGGACAUCUGGAGUGGGAAAGUGUCAAAGGCAACAGCAGCAGAAGGAGUGUGAUGGAGUCAGAAGGAGGUAAAACAGGAGGAGGCAGAUAAGCGACUGAUCUCCGGAUGGGAAGACCUUGGAAAGGGAAGACUAAACAUGAAGGAAGGGCCCAACACUCUGGAGAUGCAGGCAGCUGCUUUGCCACAAAAUAAGGGGCAAAAACCUUCACUGAUUUUGGCACAAAAAAUCCCCAACCAGGUGGCAUGUUUGCUCUUAUUCAAGCUGUUUUAGGAAUAAUGAAUAGGUUUUCAGUUGCAUCAUCAUGUAGAAGUAUGAUAUGCUCUUAAGCAAAUGUAUUUACUCCUAUGUAUUUGAUGAUACAUUAUAAUGCAACUAUAACCAUAA